UUUCUACUAAAAGAAAUCUUGUGUUGACUGAAUUAGUUUAAAAAAAUAUUUGUUUGUGUUUGCAUCCACUGGGAGAACUCCCUCCCGAAAGAGAGCGUUCCCCCAACGAACAAAAGAAUAGUAGUAAAGUAAACUCCACUGUGUGUAGUAAUUAGAAAGUGUCGAGUCGUGUGAUAAAACACCUCCUUUGGAAUAGAGAGAUCCACGCACACUCCCAGGUCUUUGUCGGCUCCCUCCCCCCACUGCAGAACACCCACCAACCGCGCACUUAAGCGCAGGCAGGAGAAAUAGCAUUCACAGCAGAGAAAAUAUUUUAGGAGCCUCCUGAGUGUCUACACUGGUCCUCCCCAGAGAUGUCUCUCUCCGAGCUCAGACAAAUCAAUUAAAUUUCUUUAAUGAUCCUUCCGCAGGUUCACCUACGGAAUCGAAUUC
rnacentral:rRNA from 1 species